GAUGGGACUACAGAUGCCCACCAUCACGCCCAGGAAACACAAGAGACCUAAGUGUUAAACAUCACCAUGGGAAUGCAAUCAGCAUGAUUCAGACUAUGAAAAACUACAUAACAACGCCAGUCUCAGAAGUAAUAAAGGAAAAAUAGCAACUUUACAGUGAAGAAAGCUGAAAGAUACCACCUCAAUGAAAUGAUCAAGGAUAGCACCAUCCUCAGACAAAAAUCAUAGAAUCAGAUGGCAGCAAAUAUGGCGGAGUAGAGAACACCAAUGGUCUAACCCUCCAAAAAGCAACAAAUACACUGGCAAAUACUGUCAGAACCAACCUUCUCGAAACUCCCGAAACUAAUGGAAAGCUUACAGCAAUCAGAUGACCAGUGGCCUUGAAGACAUCAGCCCACACUCCUGGUAGACAUACUCAGUACCAGAGGGAACUGAAUAGGCCUUAUUCUUUAAUAAAAA
rnacentral:lncRNA from 1 species